CCCAACUGUUGGCAACUGCUUAGAUUGCUUUGUAUCUAGGCAAGUGUACCACUGUUGGGAGAAAAGCAGCCAGUAGGCAGGCAUUCUGGGCCUGGUUAGUGCCAACUCUGUAUUAACUAUAACAGU
ensembl:snoRNA SNORA74 Small nucleolar RNA SNORA74